CUACGGGAUGCACCAGUGGGGAAUAUUGGACAAUGGGGGCAACCCUGAUCUAGCCAUGCCGCGUGUGUGAAGAAGGCCUUUUGGUUGUAAAGCACUUUAAGCAGGGAGGAGAGGCUAAUGGUUAAUACCCAUUAGAUUAGACGUUACCUGCAGAAUAAGCACCGGUUAACUCUGUGCCAGCAGCCGCGGUAAUACAGAGGGUGCGAGCGUUAAUCGGAAUUACUGGGCGUAAAGCGAGUGUAGGUGGCUCAUUAAGUCACAUGUGAAAUCCCCGGGCUUAACCUGGGAACUGCAUGUGAUACUGGUGGUGCUAGAAUAUGUGAGAGGGAAGUAGAAUUCCAGGUGUAGCGGUGAAAUGCGUAGAGAUCUGGAGGAAUACCGAUGGCGAAGGCAGCUUCCUGGCAUAAUAUUGACACUGAGACUCGAAAGCGUGGGUAGCAAACAGGAUUAGAUACCCUUGUAGUC
rnacentral:rRNA from 1 species